UUCUUAUCAGAUGAUGACGGUCACGUGUUUAAUUGGAUGUUCAUCCCAUGAAAGAUGAGAUGUAUUGUUGUUUUCAUUCACAGAUCAAAAUAUAACAUGUGACAAUCAUGAUUC
rfam:Glycine max cultivar Williams 82 chromosome 1, whole genome shotgun sequence.